AGCUGCGCAGCAAGAAAUGAAGAUGGCGCCGGGAGAGGCGACCGCGCCUAAAAUCACAUCUUGUUAUCGCUGUGGAACAGGCGCUGGCUGCAGUUGCGUCACGGCGGCCCCCUCGGCCCCUCCUCCUUACGCGGGGAGUAGCUUAUAUCCUUCUUUGGAGGGGUUGGGUGGGCCGAGCGGGGAGGGCGUAGCCACGUCACCAGCGGGGAGGGACGAUCCGCCCCAAGGGGUGGAGCGAAAGGUGGAGCCGGGGUGCCCCGACUCGGCCCCUGGGCCAGCUUUGACUGACUGGGCGAGGAUAAGGGGGGAGCUUGCAACGGCAGCUCCGUCCGUGAUAGCCAUGCCCGUGGUGAUAAAAACGGGGGGACCGGCCUGGGCUCCUUUGGAGCCAAAAGUAAUUACGCGAUUAGCCGAUACAGUUAGGACCAAAGGCUUGCGAUCUCCAGUUACUAUGGCAGAAGUGGAAGCUGUAAUGUCUUCCCCGCUGCUGCCGCACGAUGUCACGAAUCUUAUGAGGGUCAUACUAGCCCCUGCUCAAUAUGCUUUGUGGUUGGACGCUUGGGACGUCCAGCUGCAGACGGUUGUAGUGGCAGCCACCCGAGACCCCAGACACCCUGCGAAUGGUCAAGGAAGAGGGGAGCGAACCAAUUUAGAUCGUUUAAAAGGCCUGGCGGAUGGAAUGGCCGGAAACCCGGAGGGCCAGGCUGCGCUUUUGAGACCGGGGGAGUUGGUCGCUACUACGGCGUCGGCUCUCCAAGCGUUCAGGGAGGUUGCCCAGUUAGCAGAACCUACUGUCCCCUGGGCAGAUAUCACACAGGGGCCAUCGGAAUCCUUUGUGGAUUUUGCUAAUCGCCUCAUAAAGGCGGUUGAGGGGUCGGACCUUCCAUCUUCAGCACGAGCCCCGGUGAUUAUUGAUUGCUUUAGACAGAAAUCACACCCGGAUGUCCAACAGCUUAUCCGAGCGGCACCCUCCACUUUAACGACACCAGGAGAGAUUAUCAAAUAUGUUCUAGACAGACAGAAGGUUACCCCACUUACAGACCAGGGAAUAGCUGCGGCUAUGUCAUCGGCCAUCCAGCCCUUGGUUAUGGCGGUAGCCAACAGAGAAAGGGACGGACAAGGUGGGCCAGGAAGCCGUGCCCGGGGAGUUUGCUAUUCCUGCGGAUCCCCAGGGCACUACCAGGCGCAAUGCCCAAAAGGAAGGGGGUCAGGAGCUGACGGUGAUCGGUGCCAACUAUGCGGCGGACUGAGGCACACCGCUAGGUCAUGCCGGAAAUUUCAACAUGCCCUGCGGGAUGAGGGUAUGGGUAGGGGCCGCCGGCCAGGGAAGGGAUCCUUCUCAGGGCUGGGGCCUACUUUAACUCGCCCUACCGUGUCAUUGGCAAU
rnacentral:lncRNA from 1 species